AGUGACAUAUUACCGUGUUGAUAGAUAUUGUGUGCGUUUACUGUGUGCUUAUCGUACUUCACAUUCGUCGACUGGAUAUUUUGCGCGUUUCCGAACGUCCUCCCGCAUUGAUCAAGUGGGGGAUGAUGCAUCGUCGUUCGUCGCCACUCAGAACAGCCUCAUCGGACGGGCAGCUUUGUCUCCGCGCUCAAAAGUGCUUUCUUGCUUCGUUUAUCGAUUACCCACGUUAAUCGCGUGAUUCAGUAUCGAGUGUACCUCCAAAGACAAUCCACUUCCCAGUGUUGUGACAAGCGGCGACCGCGGUUGUACAGGAGCGGAAGCGUGAGCCUUUUGACGAGCGACUGUGAAGAAUGCAAAGCCAGUGCCAAACUUCGGUAAGUUGAAGAAAGUCGCUGAACUAAGUAACUUGGUUAUUCAUUGCGUAAGGACUGUUGUGCAGGAACCGAUAGCACGGGCGGCGUGUUGGCACAGCGAGGAUGAGAACGAGAGACCCGAUAGACAGCGAUGACAGCUGUUCACGGCACCGACACAGAGGACAUAUUGCAGUGCAAGAUAGGAGCGGUCUUCCUGCAAGCCCAGACAAGCCAUAUUGAGUGGUUUCAAAUACAGCAACUGUACCACCACGACAGUGCAGCACAAGAGACCCUAUCGUCAGUGCUGAGCCAGAAAUUAAAUAGAAAAGCGCUUUCUCCUGAAAUCUUUCGUCUGGUCUUAUUUCGUUUGUUUGUGAUUGUAAAAGAGCGCUUUCAUAGGAAAUACAAAAUUUAACUAACUAGCCCCAUUUAUUGUCCUACUGAAACUAAAUAGCUUGACAAUUUAGCGCUCGUUUACAAAUGCAUGUAUCAUAGACAUGCAAGAUUAUUGAUUGGCUUCGAAAGACUGUUACGUGUAAAGAACAAUGGUGAUCUAGUCAUUGCUCGAAAUGGUCUGCUGGCAUUUAUGUGACAAUCCUCUAAAGCGUGCACACUUUCGUAUUAUUAACCACAAAAAUAUUUAUUGACCUGUGUGCAGCAAACAUGCUGUUGCUGGCAUAAGGCCUAAGUCUGCAAUAUGGUGUUUAAUGUCAACCUAAUGCAUAUGUUCAGUUGCGUUUCACUAGACAACGGCCAUUAGAAACUCACACGUCAGUACUCCAUAGACUAACGCUAGACAAUCGUCAUCAGAAACUCUAACGUCAUGACUCUAUAGACUAACGGUGGCCAAUUACUAUUAGACUCGCAUUAGGUGUGCAUUAGAAAGCGCAUUAGACUGGCAUUAGACAGUGUAAUGAUUAUGAUGUCUAAAGACAUUAGUCUGUUUAU